UGGGGAAUUUUGGACAAUGGGCGCAAGCCUGAUCCAGCAAUGCCGCGUGCAGGAUGAAGGCCUUCGGGUUGUAAACUGCUUUUGUACGGAACGAAACGGCUCUGGUUAAUACCUGGGGCUAAUGACGGUACCGUAAGAAUAAGCACCGGCUAACUACGUGCCAGCAGCCGCGGUAAUACGUAGGGUGCGAGCGUUAAUCGGAAUUACUGGGCGUAAAGCGUGCGCAGGCGGUGAUGUAAGACAGAUGUGAAAUCCCCGGGCUCAACCUGGGACCUGCAUUUGUGACUGCAUCGCUGGAGUGCGGCAGAGGGGGAUGGAAUUCCGCGUGUAGCAGUGAAAUGCGUAGAUAUGCGGAGGAACACAGAUGGCGAAGGCAAUCCCCUGGGCCUGCACUGACGCUCAUGCACGAAAGCGUGGGGAGCAAACA
rnacentral:rRNA from 1 species